rnacentral:lncRNA from 1 species
GGGAGGCAAGGGGGAAAACCCUAACAUCCUAAAAUCAUUCAAAUUGGAAGGGGAAUCAAAGAUUUAUCGAAUGCAUGAGCCAGGGCAAAGGAAGAAGAAGGAACAAGUCUAUCCAAGGCACAAGAAAUGCAAGACCUCGGUAAGUUCAUAUGAACUUUAGGUACUCCACUUGUAGAUUGAUGAAUGAUAAUAUUUAGUACUAUGAAUUUAGUGUAAGUUUCCUUCAUGAUUCAUGAUUGUAUAGAUGCAAAGAGUUAUAUGGAGAAAUGUCUAAAAGAUAAUGUUUGAAAUAAAUUUGAAAUACCCGUCUAAUGGGUUGGAAU